GAUGAAGACGUAGCGAAAUGCGAUAAGUAAUGUGAAUUGCAGAAUUCAGUGAAUCAUCGAAUCUUUGAACGCACAUUGCGCCCGCCAGUAUUCUGGCGGGCAUGCCUGUUCGAGCGUCAUUACAACCCUCAGGCCCCCGGGCCUGGCGUUGGGGAUCGGCGGAGCCCCCCGUGGGCACACGCCGUCCCCCAAAUACAGUGGCGGUCCCGCCGCAGCUUCCAUCGCGUAGUAGCUAACACCUCGCGACUGGAGAGCGGCGCGGCCACGCCGUAAAACACCCAACUCUUCUGAAGUUGACCUCGAAUCAGGUAGGAAUACCCGCUGAACUUAAGCAUAUCAAUAAACGGAGGA
rnacentral:misc_RNA from 1 species